CCUACGGGUGGCAGCAGUGAGGAAUAUUGGUCAAUGGACGAGAGUCUGAACCAGCCAAGUAGCGUGAAGGAUGACUGCCCUAUGGGUUGUAAACUUCUUUUAUAUGGGAAUAAAAUGUUCCACGUGUGGGAUUUUGUAUGUACCAUAUGAAUAAGGAUCGGCUAACUCCGUGCCAGCAGCCGCGGUAAUACGGAGGAUCCGAGCGUUAUCCGGAUUUAUUGGGUGUAAAGGGAGCGUAGGUGGAUUGUUAAGUCAGUUGUGAAAGUUUGCGGCUCAACCGUAAAAUUGCAGUUGAAACUGGCAGUCUUGAGUACAGUAGAGGUGGGCGGAAUUCGUGGGGUAGCGGUGAAAUGCUUAGAUAUCACGAAGAACUCCGAUUGCGAAGGCAGUUCACUGGACUGCAACUGACACUGAGGCUCGAAAGUGUGGGUAUCAAACAGGAUUAGAUAUCCGAGUAGUC
rnacentral:rRNA from 1 species